CUUGCAAUAGAACAGGGAGCACAGGCAAGCAGCGUUCGUUUCUCAGGCACCCACUCCGAGCAUUUGAAGGAUGGGAACUUUUGUCCUGAUGACUGUGAGAUUGCACGGAGAAAACAGGGUUAGAAAAGUUAAUUGAGAUGGCCAACAUCCAUGACCUGGACAGCAGCUGCAGACACUUAAUUAAUCUUCACCAGCUGGUUGGUGACCUGGACAAGGCCCUGCCACACUCAGGACACCUGCCUCUUCACUCCACACAGGAAGAUUGGCUCUCGUCAGCCGGCUGAUGUUUUGGAAGCUGUGUGGAGGAAGUGAACUUUGAACUCUGCACCCUCCCUCCCCAAGGUUUCAUCUCUUAUGCCCACUUAAGAUGUAUUUUUGGAGAGGGGUGGACAAGGAAGACCCUCCAGAAGCAAAGCCAGAAGUCAUGGAGGAUCGUGGUCAAGGACAUUCCUCUAAAAGAGAAGAAAUGAAGUAGAAAAGUAAAACUUUAAAUCCACCCUUAGCUUAUCCAAAUUCUCAUCAUGCCUAAACAUGCAUGUCACACAUGGCACUUAGAAAACCUCUUGCAUCCUGAGAAAACUACACAAAAAAAGUGUAUCUGGUCUUUUCUUAAACUGCUCAAUAGUUUUGCUUAACACUAAACUCUAAAUAGAUUAAAUAUUGGGCCCUGUGAUAGGCAGCUUCUAACAUUGCUCUCUAUGGUCCCAUCUCCUGGUUUUCUCACUCCCUUUGUGUGACCUGCUCACCUUGAAUGUGGACUGGACCUAGUGAUAUACUUCUUCUUUUUUUGUUUGAUAAAUAUA